rnacentral:lncRNA from 1 species
AUGAAGUCCGAGUCGUCUGAGGGGGAGAAUAGUGAACCUGCAGAGCCACCUUUAGCUGCUAGUCGGUCACCGUUCCACAUCAGUAAAUGUGACGUUGACGUUAAUCAAAAUAUAAAAGAAUCUGAAGGCUUUAAUUAUGUUCGGCCAACCGACAUCACGUCAAAAACAGUGAUAACUGUUGACUCUUCUUUGGACCCUGCUCGAGGUGUGCAUCCCUCCACAGAAGAAUCUCUCUUUGCCCCGUCCACAUUCCAAUACACUUCCAGUUAUCCUAACCUCAAAAACUCGUCGACCGUCUCUUCGCAUCCGAAUUCUCUCAGUGUUGCGACGGCUAUUUUAAAUUUACCUAACAAGUCGCCUACAUUUUCAGAAAGUGAUGUUUCUGACAAGCAAUCUAGUCCUGAUAGAUCCCUGAGCGCAGGAAAAGCAAGUUUUGAAAAAUUGUUGAGUCCCGAGAAAAUAUCUGAGGACAGUAAAAAUAGUGCAGCGUCGAAAGAAGGAUAUAAGUCUAGUUCCUCUCCAUCUUUUGGACUGGAGAAAGCUGUACCAAAUCAAAAAUGCUCUUUCAAAUCGUCAAGUCCAGCACGGUCCCCCAGUCCUAAUUCACGAUUAUCAAGAUCUCGGAGCCCCACUCCUAGUUACAGUUUUACAAUUUCCCCACGACAUCACCAAACUAGAAGCAAAGACAGUAGCGCAAGUCAAACGAAUGAGUUCAGUGUCGCUCAGCCGGAAAUAUUAGACAAAUCAUCGAGCUACCACCUGAAUAUACCCAGUGCAUUCCAAUUAAAUUUAGAAAAGAAAAUGUCUGACCCAUCGCGAUCUCUUAGUCGAAGUCCUUCUUCUUCACCGGCCAGAGGUAGAACACCUGAGAAUAUCAAUUAUUCUAGUCUCAACGAUCCGAAUCAACCAAGUGCAGGUCGGCUUCUGUCUCUAGCAAAAUCCACGAGUUUCGUGUCCAAGAAAGCAGAAUACAUCGAACCUAUCGUUAGUGUGCCGUUCAAAUCCACCCACCGCUUUUCAGAACAGUUUUCAGAUAGUGAAAUUUCGCGGUCAGAAACCUCCGUGCCUAAGAUUCGAUUGGCAACUUAUCCUUCCGAUAGCGAGGAGCCUUAUCGAAAGGAUACGAAAGGCUGCUCUUCUGAAAGGGUACCCGAGAAACCAACAAAGACUUCGGAGUCGGACUCUCUUAGUUUUAAUGGUCCACCAUCAUCAACAUCCCAGUCCCCCUUUCCUCAAGAAGAAUGUGCCAGUAAACCCCCGGUGCACCCCGCCAGCCCUAUUGUCGGAAUCAGGGUUUCUAGCAAAGAAAGAAUGGAAAGUUUGAGGUACGCGAUGAUGAGAUCAGAAACGCCCGCGAUGGCAUUCAAAAUAAAUCUUUCGAAAGUUCCUCCGAAGACAUUUCCGACCUCACGUUUGACUUCUCAGGGAAGCACUACGUCAUCAACGAAUUCACCGAAAAUCACAUUCCAAAUGCCCGUAAGCCUCUCGAAAGUAUUAAUAACGAGAAACCGACAGACGGAGUGG